rnacentral:rRNA from 1 species
AACCUGCCCUUUGCACUGGGAUAGCCUCGGGAAACCGAGGUUAAUACCGGAUACUCCAUAUUUGUCGCAUGGCGAAUAUGGGAAAGCUCCGGCGGCAAAGGAUGGGCCCGCGGCCUGUUAGCUAGUUGGUGGGGUAGUGGCCUACCAAGGCAAUGAUGGGUAGCCGGGUUGAGAGACCGACCGGCCAGAUUGGGACUGAGACACGGCCCAGACUCCUACGGGAGGCAGCAGGA